AAAGGUCUUCCUAGGGCCAUACCAGAAGUGUUCACAAUGUAGCCCCUCUCAGAUCCUUAUGAAUCUGUGAAUUCUGCU
rnacentral:ribozyme from 1 species